rnacentral:rRNA from 1 species
AGAAUCAACGCUGGCGGCGUGCCUAACACAUGCAAGUCGAACGAGAAAGGGGUAGCAAUACCCUGAGUAAAGUGGCGCACGGGUGAGUAACACGUGACUAACCUACCCUUGAGUGGGGGAUAACUGAGGGAAACCUUAGCUAAUACCGCAUAAUACCCACGGGUCAAAGGAGCAAUUCGCUCGAGGAGGGGGUCGCGGCCGAUUAGUUAGUUGGCGGGGUAAUGGCCCACCAAGACGAUGAUCGGUAUCCGGCCUGAGAGGGCGCACGGACACACUGGAACUGAAACACGGUCCAGACUCCUACGGGAGGCAGCAGUGGGGAAUUUGCGCAAUGGGGGAAACCUGACGCAGCAACGCCGCGUGGAGGAUGAAGUCCUCGGGACGUAACUCCUUUCGAUCGGGACGAUUAUGACGGUACCGGAAGAAGAAGCCCCGGCUAACUUCGUGCCAGCAGCCGC